rnacentral:rRNA from 1 species
UACGUAGGGUCCGAGCGUUGUCCGGAAUUAUUGGGCGUAAAGGGCUCGUAGGCGGUCUGUUGCGUCGGGAGUGAAAUCCCUGGGCUUAACCCAGGGCCUGCUUUCGAUACGGGCAGACUAGAGGCAUUCAGGGGAGAACGGAAUUCCUGGUGUAGCGGUGAAAUGCGCAGAUAUCAGGAGGAACACCGGUGGCGAAGGCGGUUCUCUGGGAAUGUUCUGACGCUGAGGAGCGAAAGUGUGGGGAG